rnacentral:rRNA from 1 species
UGGGGAAUAUUGGACAAUGGGCGCAAGCCUGAUCCAGCCAUGCCGCGUGAGUGAUGAAGGCCCUAGGGUUGUAAAGCUCUUUCACCGGUGAAGAUAAUGACGGUAACCGGAGAAGAAGCCCCGGCUAACUUCGUGCCAGCAGCCGCGGUAAUACGAAGGGGGCUAGCGUUGUUCGGAUUUACUGGGCGUAAAGCGCACGUAGGCGGACUUUUAAGUCAGGGGUGAAAUCCCGGGGCUCAACCCCGGAACUGCCUUUGAUACUGGAAGUCUUGAGUAUGGUAGAGGUGAGUGGAAUUCCGGGUGUAGAGGUGAAAUUCGUAGAUAUUCGGAGGAACACCAGUAGCGAAGGCGGCUCACUGGACCAUUACUGACGCUGAGGUGCGAAAGCGUGGGGAGCAAACAGG